GACGAACGCUGGCGGCGUGCUUAACACAUGCAAGUCGAACGGAAAGGCCCUGCUUGCAGGGUGCUCGAGUGGCGAACGGGUGAGUAACACGUGGGUGAUCUGCCCCUUACUUUGGGAUAAGCCUGGGAAACUGGGUCUAAUACUGGAUAGGACCAUGCUGUAGGUGGUGUGGUGGAAAGAUUAGUUUCGGUAAGGGAUGAGCUCGCGGCCUAUCAGCUUGUUGGUGGGGUAAUGGCCUACCAAGGCGUCGACGGGUAGCCGGCCUGAGAGGGUGGACGGCCAGCUUGGGGGCGGAGAGGCGGCCGGGCCUCCUCGGGGGGGAGGAAGGGGGGAUAAUGGCAAAAGGGGGGCAGGCCUGAUGAGGCGAGCCGGGGUGGGGGAGGCCGGCCUCGGGGUUGAAACCUCCUUCCACCCAUGCCGAACCCUUUGGGGGGGGGUUAGUGGAAAAAGAGGCCCGGGCAAACUCGGUG
rnacentral:rRNA from 1 species